CAGCAUUAAUUAUUACAUCAUAGAAACUAAGUGUUCCUAGAAACAAGCAAAUUUCCUAGAUGAGCAGGAUCCUGAAAAAGGGAAAAGGAGCUUCUUUAUCAUUUUGCCUAGAUUUGCAGUCAGACAAACACAUAUAUGCAAAACACAUGGGAAAAUGAUGUGACAGAGAUUCUAACACGCACCCUACUUGAGCCAAUGUAUGGAGAAGAAACCAAGGACUUAAGAUUCUCAGGAGAGAAGCCAUGUCCCUCAGGAGCUCCUGUCUCCUAGCUUGGCUCCUGAGGUGGAUUCUGUUCUUCACUCCACUUCCUGCUUGUUACUAAGAGGUUGGCUCCUCUCUACAUUACAAUGAACCCUUCAAGCUCUUAAUCCUGUCUUUACCGUCUGGUAGCAAAGGUGUGUGUGUCUCCCAAAGGUAUAAGGAGUGGUGUGACAAGAAAGCUUCCCUUUGGGAAUAGAAGAACAUCUACUGAGAAGUACUCUCCAUUAUGUGAAUUACAAGGCCAGUGGUUCCAUCAAGCUUUAUGCAUAGACCUCAAAGCCAUCCACAAAUUUGGAAGAUACCUAAGCUGUUUGCGUGACUUCAUUCCACUCCCUGGUAAAUGCCCCCUCUGGCAUUUGUCUAGAUUCCAAGCUGUGAGGGGAGUACAGCUGGCAGAAGCACGGUCACCCCACCCCCACCCAGUGAAAGGGUGAAAGAAUCCCCCACAGGGAAAGGUGAGGCUUCCCG
rnacentral:lncRNA from 1 species